AAAUUGAAGAGUUUGAUCAUGGCUCAGAUUGAACGCUGGCGGCAGGCCUAACACAUGCAAGUCGAACGGUAACAGGAAGCAGCUUGCUGCUUCGCUGACGAGUGGCGGACGGGUGAGUAAUGUCUGGGAAACUGCCUGAUGGAGGGGGAUAACUACUGGAAACGGUAGCUAAUACCGCAUAAUGUCGCAAGACCAAAGAGGGGGACCUUCGGGCCUCUUGCCAUCGGAUGUGCCCAGAUGGGAUUAGCUAGUAGGUGGGGUAACGGCUCACCUAGGCGACGAUCCCUAGCUGGUCUGAGAGGAUG
rnacentral:rRNA from 1 species